rnacentral:rRNA from 1 species
AACGAACGCUGGCGGCAGGCCUAACACAUGCAAGUCGAACGCCGUAGCAAUACGGAGUGGCAGACGGGUGAGUAACGCGUGGGAACAUACCCCCCGGUUCGGAAUAACUCAGGGAAACUUGAGCUAAUACCGGAUACGUCCAAGUUUUUAAUCGACCUUGGAGAAAGAUUUAUCGCCGGAGGAUUGGCCCGCGUCUGAUUAGCUUGUUGGUGAGGUAAUGGCUCACCAAGGCGACGAUCAGAGCUGGUCUGAGAGGAUGAUCAGCCACAUUGGGACUGAGACACGGCCCAAACUCCUACGGGAGGCAGCAGGUGGGGAAUAUUGGACAAUGGGGACGAAAGCCUGAUCCAGCCAUGCCGCGUGAGUGA